GCUUGUGGCUCUCUGAACUGUCUGUUUACAGAGUUGUGGGUUCCUGCUCCCUUUGGUCACGCACUGACUCAGCUGGAGGCUUGGGGAGUGCUCCUGUCCCAGCACCACCCCAUGGCCUGCUCCUUCUGAGAACACCUGAGCUGCCUCUCAUGCUCCCUGGGAUUCCUGUCAGGCAGAAAAGAAGACUGAGCCCAGCUCUUCUUCAUGAACUGUUGGACUACUGACUAAAUUAAGAUACAUUAAUCAUGGAUGGAUGACAAAAGAAAAGCACCCAUGGACUUCUGAAUGCGCUGCCUCAGUCAAUACAAGCAACUUCAGAGGAAGUCACUGCCUGGUUAUAAGGCUACGGCUUUGGACUGCAGAGGACAGACUGUGCGAGCAAAGCAAGAACACUCUGGGCCAUCAACAAGCAGAGGAUAGCUCUUGAAUAUCGCAGGGGAUAUCCACCCGAUGGCGUGUGGUCCCUUUACCCUGGGGACUGGAGCAGAUCCCUGAGGGAACCUGGGGCUCGGCUGCCAACCCUCCCAGAGCAUGGAGGGCUCAUUGAAGAGGACCAACCAGCCAACACACUGCCCAUGAAGCACAGCCAGGUAGCUGAGGUGAGGGGAGCGGGACCGCAGCUGUGCUGAAGCAGGUGCACUGGGAGCAGGAG